rnacentral:rRNA from 1 species
UACGUAGGCAGCAAGCGUUGUCCGGAAUUAUUGGGCGUAAAGAGCUCGUAGGCGGUUUGUCGCGUCUGCCGUGAAAGUCCGGGGCUCAACUCCGGAUCUGCGGUGGGUACGGGCAGACUAGAGUGCAGUAGGGGAGACUGGAAUUCCUGGUGUAGCGGUGAAAUGCGCAGAUAUCAGGAGGAACACCGAUGGCGAAGGCAGGUCUCUGGGCUGUAACUGACACUGAGAGACGAAAGCUAGGGGAGCGAAUGGG